AAGCCUUAGUAAUUUUUACUCCUUUAAAUUUGCAAUUUAACGUCAUUAUUGACUAUAAGACC
rnacentral:tRNA from 1 species